GAUGAACGCUGGCGGCGUGCUUAACACAUGCAAGUCGAACGAAGAUGCCGGAGUGCUUGCACUUUGGCAGACUGAGUGGCGGACGGGUGAGUAACGCGUGGGUAACCUGCCUUAUACAGGGGGAUAACAGUUGGAAACGACUGCUAAUACCGCAUAAGCGCACGGUAUCGCAUGAUACAGUGUGAAAAACUCCGGUGGUAUAAGAUGGACCCGCGUCUGAUUAGCUAGUUGGUGAGGUAACGGCCCACCAAGGCGACGAUCAGUAGCCGGCCUGAGAGGGUGAACGGCCACAUUGGGACUGAGACACGGCCCAAAACUCCUACGGGAGGCAGCAGUGGGGAAUAUUGCACAAUGGGGGAAACCCUGAUGCAGCGACGCCGCGUGAGUGAUGAAGUAUUUCGGUAUGUAAAACUCUAUCAGCAGGGAAGAUAAUGACGGUACCUGACUAAGAAGCACCGGCUAAAAUACGUGCCAGCAGCCGCGG
rnacentral:rRNA from 1 species